rnacentral:piRNA from 1 species
GCUAUGGACACUCCUUUCAGACAGGCUUGC